rnacentral:misc_RNA from 1 species
AACGCACAUUGCGCCCCCUGGCAUUCCGGGGGGCAUGCCUGUCCGAGCGUCAUUUCUGCCCUCAAGCACGGCUUGUGUGUUGGGUGCGGUCCCCCCGGGGACCUGCCCGAAAGGCAGCGGCGACGUCCGUCUGGUCCUCGAGCGUAUGGGGCUCUGUCACUCGCUCGGGAAGGACCUGCGGGGGUUGGUCACCACCAUAUUUUACCACGGUUGACCUCGGAUCAGGUAGGAGUUACCCGCUGAACUUAA